rnacentral:rRNA from 1 species
GACGAACGCUGGCGGCGUGCUUUAGGCAUGCAAGUCGAACGCGAAAGCCCCUUCGAGGGUGAGUAGAGUGGCGAACGGGUGAGUAACACGUGGGUAACCUACCCCUCGCAGGGGGAUAACCGGGGGAAACCUCGGCUAAUACCCCGUACGCUUGUCGGGGCGCAUGCUCUGACAAGGAAAGGUAGCUUCGGCCAUCCGGCGAGGGAUGGGCCCGCGCCCCAUUAGCUAGUUGGUGAGGUAACGGCUCACCAAGGCGACGAUGGGUAGCUGGCGUGAG